UCAGCUCUCUAACUCUGCGCAAGAUCCAACGCAACCAGAAAGAGACCAAGAAGACACUAUAGACGUUCUCUCCUGUUUUAUUCCGUUUUACACUCUAAAUCAAGCUAAAUCGCUUUUGGAUAAAACAAUAUUAGAGGCAAUGUACAAGUGUCUUAAACAUUUUGAGGAAUCAUUCUGCGAGGGGAGCAUUAAUUUACACUGGCUUGUGUAGUAAGGCUAGUGACUGGGGAUCUCUUGCGCGUUGAAAACACGAUACAAGCACACGGGGGCACCUGGGAAGCUGUCAGAGUGUAAUGGAUGAAUCUGCUCGGAGGAACGAGGCCUUUGCUGCUAGACCUCAACACUCAACAAAAUGCUUGGAAUUACUGAAGAUCACGCAUUACAUACCUUUUCAUGAG